AAAGCUACGGUAGCCUAUACACCGAGGGAAAAGAGGGGUAGCGCGGGAGGGAAACGUUAGAUAUUAAUAAGUAUAUUUUAAUAUAUGUGUUAACCCUUAAAUGUCUAUAUAAAUGGACUGCUGGAUUUAUCAAUAGCUGUCUGCUGCAGAAAUAGUUUUUAAGAAUAUAGCCUUGUAGCCUAAUUAUUGCAGAAAUUUGACUAUUCUAACAGACAGGGCAGUACUCAGAGAGUGACUGACUGGCUUUACCGGAUUUGCCAAGAGUCGUGACGAGAGGAUAUAGCAAAUAACGGAUCGCCAAGGCACCGGGUUGGGGAUAUGUGAUCUGAUGAUCGCUUGCAAAGACGUGAGACCUUAACGGGAGCAGCAACUCCACUGAUCUGUUACGGAUUCGAAACCGGGAGAGGGAGCGAUUGGCACAAAGAGCGGAGAACGAAUCGCAUUGAGCCUACUAUUCCCGGAGGGAGGAUAACAGGAGACGCGCACUGAAGACAACAACGCCACGGUAAAACGUGGAAAAAUAAACAAAAUCAUCUCAAAUUACUCUCGGGAUUAUUUUACAACGUGGAGUGAAGGAUCUCUUGAAAUCGGGGCUCCGAACACUCUCACGUCCUAAAGCUCUGGUCGCUCCUCUCCAGAGGACCACGACUCUGCUCGCACUCACCCCGCUCUUCUCACCUCGAACCCAGCAGAGCGCCUGUCGUUCUCCCCGCUGUGUUCCGAUGAAGGAAGCCGACGCGAUCAAGCUGUUCGUGGGCCAGAUUCCUCGGAAUCUAGAAGAGAAGGACCUCAAACCGAUCUUUGAACAGUUCGGGAAGAUCUACGAGCUGACGGUGAUAAAGGACAAAUACACCGGCAUGCACAAAGGAUGUGCAUUCCUGACAUAUUGUGCGAGGGAGUCAGCGCUGAAGGCCCAGAGUGCUUUGCAUGAGCAGAAGACGCUACCGGGGGUGAGUACAAGUCAUAUGACACA